rnacentral:rRNA from 1 species
GAUGAACGCUGGCGGCGUGCUUAACACAUGCAAGUCGAACGAUGAAGCCCAGCUUGCUGGGUGGAUUAGUGGCGAACGGGUGAGUAACACGUGAGUAACCUGCCCUUAACUCUGGGAUAAGCCUGGGAAACUGGGUCUAAUACCGGAUAGGAGCGUCCACCGCAUGGUGGGUGGUGGAAAGAUUUAUCGGUUUUGGAUGGACUCGCGGCUUAUCAGCUUGUUGGUGAGGGAAUGGCUCACCAAGGCGACGACGGGUAGCCGGCCUGAGAGGGUGACCGGCCACACUGGGACUGAGACACGGCCCAGACUCCUACGGGAGGCAGCAGUGGGGAAUAUUGCACAAUGGGCGCAAGCCUGAUGCAGCGACGCCGCGUGAGGGAUGACGGCCUUCGGGUUGUAAACCUCUUUCAGUAGUGAAGAAGCGAGAGUGACGGUACCUGCAGAAGAAGCACCGGCUAACUACGUG